rnacentral:rRNA from 1 species
AGUAACGUGUGGGUAACCUGCCUCAUACAGGGGGAUAACAGUUAGAAAUGACUGCUAAUACCGCAUAAGCGCACAGUGCUGCAUGGCACAGUGUGAAAAACUCCGGUGGUAUGAGAUGGACCCGCGUCUGAUUAGCUGGUUGGUGAGGUAACGGCCCACCAAGGCGACGAUCAGUAGCCGGCCUGAGAGGGUGAACGGCCACAUUGGGACUGAGACACGGCCCAAACUCCUACGGGAGGCAGCAUGC